rfam:Colius striatus contig71047, whole genome shotgun sequence.
ACUUUUAAAGGAUAGUAGCAAUCCACUGGUCUUGGGAACCGCCCACCUUGGUGCAAAUCCAAGUAAAACUA